UCCCAACAUCGUUUAUAUCCUGCUUUUCCAGGAAUGAAAUGCCAUCUUUCUAUGUUGGUUGUGAACAUCAUUUGGCACCUGGCAGGGCCAACCCUCAUGGUGUGUGUGUGAACACAUCCCUAAACCGUAGUCUAAUUUACCCUAUUUUUGUAGUUCACGUGAGCAGAAUCCAGUAUCUGUGUUCUUGCAUCUGGUUUUCACUCCACGUGUUUGGGGUGUGUGCACAUCCCCUGUGUGUGCUGUGGACUUGAUCCAUGUCCCAUGUGCAAACGCCACCCCACCCAGAGGCCACGCCAGGACCCAGGCCUGUGGGCCGUGGUUCCCAGUUUGCUCUUGCAAGGACACUGUGUCCUCCUGCGUGGGAGUCCCUGCUUCGGGUCUCAUCCUGGGAGUGGAAGGCAGGUCGUGGGUGUGGCUGCGUCCUUAGCUUCUCUGGAUGAUACCCACCAAGAGGCUGGCCUGGGAACACACCGGGAGCCAGAGGGCCCAGCCGCACAGCUCCCUCGCACUGGGCUGGGCACUUGGUCACCAGCAGUUUGGGGAAUGUGUUCUCUUGGUGGUUUCAGGUGGGAGUCUGAGCAUCAACCCCGUGUCCGCUGGAUGCUGGAGUUCUUUCCUCUCUGGCGGUGUUUCUCAUCAGGGUUCCCCACCCGGCUACUGCACGCUGCGUCUCUCCUGACCUGUAGGAGUCCUCUAUGCCUCUGGCUGCUCACCUUUGUUGGUUUAAUGUUUUGC